CCCUUAGAUGUUCUGGGCUGCACGCGCGCUACACUGAAGCGUUCAACGAGUAUUCACCUUGCCCGGGAGGGUUGGGUAAUCUUUUGAAAACGCUUCGUGAUGGGGAUAGAUUAUUGCAAUUAUUAAUCUUCAACGAGGAAUUCCUAGUAAACGCAAGUCAUCAGCUUGCAUUGAUUACGUCCCUGCCCUUUGUACACACCGCCCGUCGCACCUACUGAUUGAAUGACUCGGUGAAAAAUCGGGACUGCGAGAACAAUCGAUUAAUUUCGAAUGUACUUGUGGGAACUUUUUUUAACCUCGCCAUUUAGAAGAAGGUGAAGUCGUAACA
rnacentral:rRNA from 1 species